UUGCUGUAAUGUACAUUUUACAACUGAAACUAGGUUUAAAAUUAGCACUGGAUUUCAUUUUCAUUUGUAUAUUGUGUGUUUUUUGUUCUAGACCCAGCCAAUGAUUCUUUGCCGUACGAGGCUGCAGUUGACAUUAAUGAGUUGAUCCAAGUCAGUGAAGUGAUGGAAUCCAACAAAAUAGGGCCAAAUGGAGCACUUGUGUUUUGCAUGGAAUUUCUUGAACAAAACUUAGAAUGGCUUAUAUCAAAACUUAAAGCUCUUCCAGGCCACUACUUCAUAUUUGAUUUUCCAGGCCAGGCUGAAUUGUAUUCCCAUCACACAAUGGUUCGGAACAUAUUAUCAAGUUUGGAGAAGUCUGACCUUAGACUGUGUGCAGCUUACCUAGUUGAUUCCCACUAUGCCAAUGAUCCAGG